UACAGAGGCCUCGAGCGUUAGGCGGAAUCACUGGGCUUAAAGCGUGUGUAGGCGGACUGGUAAGUACCUUGUGAAAUCCCACAGCUUAACUGUGGAACUGCUCGGUAUACUGCUGGUCUUGAGCCACUCAGGGGCUACCGGAACAAAUGGUGGAGCGGUGAAAUGCGUAGAUAUCAUUUGGAACGCCAAUGGUGAAAACAGGGUAGCUGGGGGGUGUGCUGACGCUGAGACACGAAAGCCAGGGGAGCAAACGGG
rnacentral:rRNA from 1 species